AUGUACUCUUAGAGAAAUUCAAUAAUAAACAAAGUGAAUUGAAAUAUCUUAGUAACUUUAGGAAAAGAAAUCAAACGAGAUUCUAUGAUUAGUGUGAAUGAAAGUAGAACAGCCUAUAAAUUAUCAGAAUAUUUAUGUAUAUAUUUUUUUAUACAAAAAAAAAAAAAAUGUAAGUAAAAUAUAUUGUAAUAAAAUUAUUAGCAUUACUAGGACAACGACAUGUUUGCUCUUCAAAUAACGGGCCAGUAGUGGCUUGCUUCGAAGCAAGACCACUACUGGUCCGUAUUUGAAGAGCAAAACAAAGCUCUAACCACUGAUAUAUUAAAUAAGUAAAACGGGCAAUAACCUGUUUGAAUACAAGGGGAACCUUCCUCUAAGGCUAAAUAUAAUACAUAAGCGAUAGCGUAAAGUACUGUGAAGGAAAGGUUGAAAUAGUAGUUUUAUAAGCAGCUCAAGUUUAAAUAAAUAGUAAGAGCGUACCUUUUGCAUAAUGGGUCAGCAAGUUAAUAUUAGAUGCGAGCAGUAAUGCCUAGAUAAACCAAUUAUGAAAUAAUGAAUUAGUAUCUAAAAUUAGACCCGAAGCCUAGUGAUCUUACCAUGGUCAGGGUUAUAAAAGCCCGAACGGUUUAUCGUUGUAAAGAUAUCCGAUGAACUGUGGUAAGUUAGUGAAAGACAAAACUGACUAGGAUAGCUGGUUUUCUGCGAAACCUAUAUAAGUAGGUAAUUCAAGUUACAUCAUAGCAGGUACAGAACUGUGAUCUCAGGCAACUUAUAAUUUCUUAUCUAGGCAACGCCUAGAUAAGAAAUAAUUUUGCAUAUAUCGGGGAAUCGUGAGGAUUUUAUCGGUGAGUAUUCGCACUCGGAAGGGCAAUGAUGAAUAUAAAAAUGUAUUGAAUAAUCGGACAUAGUACGAUAAGGUUGUAUGUCUAAAGGGAAACAGCCCAGAACAAGAGUUAAGGUUCCAAAAUUAUUGUUAAGUGAAACUAAGGAAGUUUCUAUCUAAUACAACUAGGAAAUAGGCUUAGAAGCGGCUAUUUUUUGAAGACCUCGUAACAGAGCACUGGUUUAGUAAAAACUUUACAUUGAUAGUUGCACCGAAAAUUUAACGGAUCUAAACAAUAUACCGACACCUUGUCCAUAUUGUUAAAUAUAAUAUAGAAUUUAACUAUGGGGUAGCAGAACGUUGGGUAAAUCUUAGACAUAUUCUUUUUAAGAAUAUAGAGUAAUAACGAGUAAUAUCGUGUGAGAGCCCUGAAUUAAUGGUAACCCAAGUGAGAAUGCUGACAUGAGUAACGAAAAAGGGUCCCUUGCGUUCGUUAAGAUGAAUUUGAAGAAUAGGAAUUAGUUGUCCAGUUUAGGGCGGACAUUCAAUUAAUUCAAAAAAAACGUAGGAAAUUAAUAUGGGGGGGAUAUCUAACAAAAGAUAUUAUAGCCCUCGCCUAAAGCUUAUGGAUUUAUUAAAGUAACGGCCUCUAAGUUUACUAACCUAAAGGAUUAAACGAUGAGUAAAGCUUACCUACAAAGUAACAACAUCUUCUUGCUCGGUGAUAAUAUUUAUACGCUCCCUUUUUUUUUUCAAAAAUUAAAGGGAGCGUAUAAAUAUUUAUACUCAGUAAGAAAAGUGAAGAAGGUUCUGGAAAAACUUGUAACAAGUAAUGUUUAUUUUAUCAUUUUAAAUAUACUAAAACAUAUGAAGAAUGACGAAAUAAGGCUAAAUAAACCGUACCUAAAUACUACCACAAGUAAGCAAGUAGAGAAUACGAAGGCGUUUGAGUGAACAAUCAUUAAGGAACUCGGCAAACUAACUACCGUAACUUCGGGAUAAGGAGAGCCAUUCUUACUUAUUAGUAUAAGGUAAAGAAUAGGAAGCAUGGAAUAGUGUUGUACGACUGUUUAAUUAAAACAAAGCACUUUGCAAUAAGAUAAUAAAUCAAAGUAUUGAGUGUGAUUUCUGCCCAAUGUCGGCUGGUUAACGGAUUUUCUAGGUUGACUAAUAUAAGCUUGGAUUUGAAGGAAACCCCGAUCAAUGGCGGCCUUACCUAUGAGGGUCCUAAGGUAGCGGAAUACCCUGGCCGUUAAAUGCGGUCUUGCAUGAAUAGAAAUCAAUCUAUUCCUAAUUUAAGCGUGGCAUUAUAACGAUAUUAAUAAUAACUUAAAAGAAUGUGCCCUGCUUAGUAACCGGUACACGUGCGACUUCAUACCUAUAGAUGUAUGAGAUGUGGUUAUCAUCUUAGAAAAAGGGAACUAUCCGAAAAGCUACUUAAAAAUCCUAUUUUGAAACAGGUAGGAGAGGAAACUUGGUGCUAAAACAUGACGCAUCUGAACUAAGUAGAAAAUAACUAUGGACCUAAAUGUCAAAAGCGUUGAAUUUUUUUAAGUAAGACGCACACUUUAUUUUUUUCCUUUUUUUUUUUUAUAGUUUAAUUGUUAAAUAAUAAUUAAAUUAUAAUAAAAAAAAAGGAAAAAAAUUUAGAACUCUAAGGUAACCCUUAUUAAGUUUAUUAUUAUUAUUCUCCUAUCUGGUUCAACAGCUAUAUACCCUUCUCAAUUUUUUUUCUUUUUUUUUUAUUUUAAUAUAUUUUUAUUUAUAUAUAUAAAUUAUUUGUAUAAAAAAAAAGAAAAAAAAAAAGGAAAGGCAGCUUUAUCUUUUGCACCUGAUUUUAUAACUACUGGGCAAACUCUUAAAGCUUUGGCUGAAAAGGGUAAACUUUUUAAGGGAGAGUUUAAAAUAAGUAUCUUAAAGGAUAAGCAGUAAUUGCCCUUUAUUAAACUUAUUGUUUAUAUUUUAUCAUCUAUUAAGGGAUACGUCCCUUUUAAUGAUAAGCACACAAAAUUUAUGCCAGCCUAAAUAGGAAUAGAAAAAUCGAGCCUAGGAAACUUGAUUUUUGUGCAAUAAAGAGGCAAACUCCGGGGACACCCUAAAGCUUCUGGUACCAAGCUAUAGUUGAAAAACUAUAUGUGGCUGAAUUAAUCCUUCAGGUUUUUGUUAGGUUAUUUAUUAAAUAACCUAAACAAUAAGGUAACAAGUCAGAAGAUGAGUGAAAACGAAAUGGGUUAUCGCGGAUCUAAGUCAGAUAAUAUAUCUGUAAAAGAGCAACGAGCGGAUGCUUCUUCUGAGAUUACACUAAAAUACUUAAAAAUAAGUAUUAAUCUCAGUAAGGUGCGCUCUAGUCGCCACGAAAGUGGUUCUUAAGCCAAAUAUAAGUAAUUUAAGAUUAAAGAUAUCAUAAUAACCUAACCUAAAGAUAAUAUCAACGGUAAAAUUAUGAAACGGAAUGAUUUAACGAUACAACAGCUGUCUCAAUGAUUGGCUCAGUGAAAUUGGAAUAACUGUGCAGAUACAGUUUACCUCUAGAUAGACGAGAAGACCCUAUGCAGCUUUACUGUUGCUAGUUAUUGAAUAUGAUUGAACCAAUAUUAGUGUAUAAGGUAGUUGGAGGCAAUUUUUUAAACCUCGUUCAGGCAAAAUUGAAACACCUUUAUUUUGUUUAUCAUAUUCGUAGGCUAUAGAGUCUACGUCAUAAUAUAAGGUGCGUUGUUAUUACGUUAUUAAGUAUUAUAAUUAACCCAUCAAAUGGGAACAAUGGCUAGGAGGCAGUUUAUGCGGGGCACAGAUCCCAUAAAAAGUACCUGGGUGUAUCCAAAG
rnacentral:rRNA from 1 species